AUCCCUAUAGUCGAAUGGACAGUAGUUUGAGGAUACAUGCUACCCACACUGGCCAUCAAAUAUUUUCCAAAGUGAAAAUCAAACAGUUCAAAUCUCACAAACUAUAUUCAGAAGAUUCUUACCUGUUACCAUUUCAGCACAUUAGAAGAUCUAACCAAACUAUCACCUUGUGUAUCAUGCAUCAUGUCAGCUCCAUCAAGUCCACCAGCAAUGGAUGUGCAUAGAAGCAUAAGGCAAUCAUUUAAUAAAGUUUCAACAAAAAUAUAAAUGGAUAUGAGAAGGCAACAGUGAGUAUAUUACUAUAUUACAUAGAUGAAUUGACAAAUAUAAGAAAAAGAUGCACUCUUUUAUUUACAUUUUACAACUAACUAGUAAGAAAUAAAACUAUAUAUGUUGCUUUUUGAAAGGAAUAUUCAUUUAAACAAUAUAUAUAUAUAUAUAUAUAUAUAUAUAUGUAUAUACGUAUCUCAUAAUAAAGUUUAGCUUAUAAGAAUGGAAGACAUGGCCUAGCAUUGAUCUCAUUUAACUCAUCACUCCUCAUUUCAAGAAGACAAAAUAGAAACAUGCGAAAAAUCAUAAACACUACCAGGAAAAGUGAUCUUGGGUAUUCAAAUUAAGUAAACAGAGCAUGCUUAGAGACAACAAAUGCGGAAAAAAGGUGUGUUGCAUAAGUCACUUGCAGGACGAAUACAACUACGUUGGAUGAUAACACAAAAGAAGGCCAUAAGCUUGUCUAUCUAAGAAAUGAAUAUGAAGCAUGAAGACAAAUAUAUUGAAUGAUAACAUAUUAAACAAUAUAGCUAUAAGUUUGUCUAUAUAGCAAAUGGACGGUAACUAAGUUUAAGCUGUUACACUUGAGAACCGCGACGGAAGGUAUUCGAACAUGCAUGUACAGAACACACCGAGAUUAAGUUACUCCUACAAUACGAGGACUAAGGAUGAAAAAUCACCUGGAGGAUAGAAACUGUUGAAAGAAUGAUAGCGAGUUAAAUAACCGUUUUCACAAAGUUUUUUAGACUUCAUCGACUUAAGUUGAACCUUAUAGGCACCACGGCCCACAGAUAGAAGUAUUUCAUCACUAUCCUCAAGGGAUCCCAAUAUACGUCUCACAACUGCCCUCUUUCCUUGAAUCUGUUUAGGGAGCCCAAUAAUCAUAUGCAUGUCAAUUGUUUUCCAUAGCACCCAUGUGGCAACACCGUGAAAAUUGAUAUUCCUCUGCCACAUUUGUAAGUGAGGGUAAGACAAUAUGGCAAACCCAAUCGCGCCAUCCCCAGCCUGGAUGAUGCAAUGACUACCAUGGCGAAAAUCAUUUGUAAGAGGAGGCCCCCUAAUCACAGCUAGGCUCUGCUCAUCCAAAUCAAACUUAAGUAUGUCAUUGCUUAUAGAAUCCAACAACCAGUAAAGGGCAUUACCAACAAGCAACCCAGGGGUAUGGUCAUAAAAAAGCUCAAAUGAAACGGUUGAUGGAAUGAUAUCACCCCAUUCAC
rnacentral:lncRNA from 1 species